UACGAAGGGGGCUAGCGUUGUUCGGAAUUACUGGGCGUAAAGCGCGCGUAGGCGGUUUUGCAAGCCAGAGGUGAAAUGCCUGAGCUCAACUUAGGAAUUGCCUUUGGGACUGCGAGGCUUUGAGGACGGGAGAGGUGAGUGGAAUUCCCAGUGUAGAGGUGAAAUUCGUAGAUAUUCGGAGGAACACCAGUGGCGAAGGCGGCUCACUGGUCCAUUACUGACGCUGAGGUGCGAAAGCGUGGGGAGCAAACAGG
rnacentral:rRNA from 1 species